rnacentral:rRNA from 1 species
GACGAACGCUGGCGGCGUGCUUAACACAUGCAAGUCGAACGCUGAAGGCCCAGCUUGCUGGGUUGGAUGAGUGGCGAACGGGUGAGUAACACGUGAGUAACCUGCCCUCUUCUUUGGGAUAACGGUCGGAAACGGCUGCUAAUACCGGGUAUUCACUGUCCUUCGCAUGGGGGGUGGUGGAAAGGUUUUUUCUGGUGGGGGAUGGGCUCGCGGCCUAUCAGCUUGUUGGUGGGGUGAUGGCUUACCAAGGCUUUGACGGGUAACCGGCCUGAGAGGGUGACCGGUCACAUUGGGACUGAGAUACGGCCCAGACUCCUACGGGAGGCAGCAGUGGGGAAUAUUGCACAAUGGGCGAAAGCCUGAUGCAGCGACGCCGCGUGAGGGAUGGAGGCCUUCGGGUUGUAAACCUCUUUCGCUCAUGGUCAAGCCGCAACAGUGGUUGUGGUGAGGGUAGUGGGUAAAGAAGCACCGGCUAACUACGUGCCAGCAGCCGCGGUAAUACGUAGGGUGCGAGCGUUGUCCGGAAUUAUUGGGCGUAAAGGGCUUGUAGGCGGUUUGUCGCGUCUGCCGUGAAAUCCUCUGGCUUAACUGGGGGCGUGCGGUGGGUACGGGCAGGCUUGAGUGCGGUAGGGGAGACUGGAACUCCUGGUGUAGCGGUGGAAUGCGCAGAUAUCAGGAAGAACACCGGUGGCGAAGGCGGGUCUCUGGGCCGUUACUGACGCUGAGGAGCGAAAGCGUGGGGAGCGAACAGG